rfam:Triticum urartu cultivar G1812 contig816144, whole genome shotgun sequence.
CUUGUACCCCCUCCGUCCGAAAAUACUUGUCAUUGAAUUUGAUAUAUCUAGAUGUAUUUUAGUUCUAGACACAUCCAUUUUGAUGACAAGUAAUUCCGGACAGAGGGGGUACUUG